rnacentral:rRNA from 1 species
GUCAGCUAGCUGCUCUGCAGCUCUCCCAUAGUCGUCCACUAAAGCUAAGUAGGGCUGUGCCCGGUCAGUACCUGGAUGGGAGAUCACAUGGGAAAGCUAGGUUGCUGACA